CCGUCUUCUUUCAAAGCUGAA
ensembl:piRNA 21ur-1214 ncRNA